UCCCCGUUAACCGAGGCAGUCUCCUGUGACAAAAUUUAACACAGGACAAGGGUUGCGCUCGUUUGCGGACUUAACCGAACAUCUCACGACACGAGCUGACGACGGCCGUGCACCACCUGUCUUUAGGCUCCCUUGCGGGCACCCCCAACUUUCGAAGGGGUUCCUAAGAUGUCAAGCCCUGGUAAGGUUCUUCGCUUAAUGUCGAAUUAAACCUCAUGUUCCCCCGCUUGUGCGAGUCCCCGUCAAUUCCUUUGAGUUUUAGCCUUGCGGCCGUACUUCCCAGGCGGCAGACUUCACGCGUUAGCUUCGACACAGGGAGGGUCGAUACUCCCGAUGCCUAGUCUGCAUCGUUUACGGCGUGGACUAC
rnacentral:misc_RNA from 1 species